AUUGAACGCUGGCGGCAGGCCUAACAACUGCAAGUCGAGCAGAGCGGCAGACGGGUGAGUAAUGCCUAGGCAUCGGCCUGGUCCUGGGGGAGAACGUCAGGAAACGGGCGCUAAUACAGAUUCCUCUGAGAUGAGACUGUGUCGGAUUAGCUAGUUGGUGGGGUAAGGGCCUACCAAGGCGACGAUCCGUAACUGGUCUGAGAGGAUGAUCAGUCACACUGGAACUGAGACACGGUCCAGACUCCUACGGGAGGCAGCAGUGGGGAAUAUUGGACAAUGGGCGAAAGCCUGAUCCAGCCAUGCCGCGUGUGUGAAGAAGGUCUUCGGAUUGUAAAGCACUUUAAGUUGGGAGGCGUUACCAACAGAAUAAGCACCGGCUAACUUCGUGCCAGCAGCCGCGGUAAUUC
rnacentral:rRNA from 1 species